rnacentral:rRNA from 1 species
AAAACUCCGGUGGUAUAAGAUGGACCGGGUUUGAUAACCCAGUUGCGGGGUAACGGCCCACCCAGGCCCGCGAUCAGUAGCCGACUUGAGAGAGUGAUCGGCCACAUGGGGACUGAGACACGGCCAGACUCUACGGGAGGCAGCAGUAGGGAAUAUGCACAAUGGGGAAAACCCUGAUGCAGCGACGCCGCGUGAGUGAAGAAGUAUUUCGGUACGUAAAGCUCUAUCAGCGGGGACGAAGAUGACGGUACCCGCAGAAGAAGUCCCGGCUAACUACGUGCCAGCAGCCGCGGUAAUACGUAGGGGACAAGCGUUAUCCGGAUUUACUGGGUGUAAAGGGAGCGUAGGCGGCCACGCAAGUCAGAAGUGAAAGCCCGGGGCUUAACUCCGGGACUGCUUUUGAAACUGCGCGGUUCGAGUACAGGAGAGGCAGGCGGAAUUCCUAGUGUAGCGGUGAAAUGCGUAGAUAUUAGGAAGAACACCGGUGGCGAAGGCGGCCUGCUGGACUGAGACUGACGCUGAGGCUCGAAAGCGUGGGGAGCAAACAGGAUUAGAUAUUCUGGUAGUC